rnacentral:lncRNA from 1 species
AACUAGAAAUUAAGGUAAUACACAAUCUUUUUUAUUAUAAAUUAAUGUAUUACAUCCGAAGAAAUUAAAACUAAGGCUCGUAAUCGGAAUCAUCCGAUGAGUCUUCUUCGGUGUCAGAAUUAAUUUCUGGUAAUCUAUGCCUUUCCUCAUCGCCAGAGUCUUCGUCUGUUUCUUGAUUUGGAUCAACAUCAAUAAGCCUUGGCUCUUCAUCACGAAUUCGCACCGAACGACCCG